GACAUUGCUGGAUGGCUGCAGCAGCUGUACACACUCUACACUGCUUGUGUUUUCUUCCCAUCUUCCGAUCCCUCUACUGACCUCUCUGGCCACUUUUUGUCAUUACAGGUAAAAAUAUAUAUAUAUACAAUCAAUAAACUUUUACGCUGUGACACUUCGGGCCAAAGGUCUUGCUACGCUGUGAUUGAUAUUAGAUGCCAGUCCUCACUCCUCUCCUUACCAGGCUUGCCAUGCGUCCCGAUUGCGAUGUCCUUUUAAGGGGUGUGCUGAGCCGUUGAAACUUCUCGGGUGAAAAGUUGUCUGUUACACUUUCUGACUCCACACAUACUUC